rnacentral:rRNA from 1 species
GACGAACCUUGCAAACGUUAUUCGGAAUCACUGGGCUUAAAGGGUGCGUAGGCUGUGCAGAAAGUUGGGUGUGAAAUACCUCGGCUUAACCGAGGAAUUGCGCCCAAAACUACUGUGCUCGAGGAAGAUAGAGGUGAGCGGAACUUAGGGUGGAGCGGUGAAAUGCGUUGAUAUCGGAAGGAACGCCGGUGGCGAAAGCGACACACUGGAUCUUGUCUGACGCUGAGGCACGAAAGCCAGGGGAGCGAACGGG